rnacentral:rRNA from 1 species
UACGGAGGGGCUAGCGUUGUUCGGAAUUACUGGGCGUAAAGCGCACGUAGGCGGCUUUGUAAGUUAGAGGUGAAAGCCCCGGAGCUCAACUCCGGAAUUGCCUUUAAGACUGCAUCGCUAGAAUUGUGGAGAGGUGAGUGGAAUUCCGAGUGUAGAGGUGAAAUUCGUAGAUAUUCGGAAGAACACCAGUGGCGAAGGCGACUCACUGGACACAUAUUGACGCUGAGGUGCGAAAGC